ACGCGAAAGCCCCGCAAGGGGUAAGUAGAGUGGCAAACGGGUGAGUAACACGUGGGUGACCUGCCUUCGAGUGGGGGAUAACGUCCCGAAAGGGACGCUAAUACCGCAUGACAUCCUGCUCUUGGACGAGCGGAGAUCAAAGCCGGGGAUCGCAAAACCUGGCGCUUGAAGAGGGGCCCGCGCCUGAUUAGCUAGUUGGUGGGGUAAUGGCUCACCAAGGCGACGAUCAGUAUCCGGCCUGAGAGGGCGGACGGACACACUGGGACUGAGACACGGCCCAGACUCCUACGGGAGGCAGCAGUGGGGAAUUGUUCGCAAUGGGCGCAAGCCUGACGACGCAACGCCGCGUGGAGGACGAAGAUCUUCGGGUCGUAAACUCCUGUCGAGCGGGAAGAAACCCGCGGGGAUGAAUAAUCCCUGUGGCUGACGGUACCGCUAAAGGAAGCCCCGGCUAACUCCGUGCCAGCAGCCGCGGUAAUACGGGGGGGGCAAGCGUUG
rnacentral:rRNA from 1 species